rnacentral:tRNA from 1 species
GGGCCGUUAGCUCAAUUGGCAGAGCAACUGACUCUUAAUCAGUAGGUCGAAGGUUCGACCCCUUCACGGCCCA